GAGGACUUGACGGAGGUCAUCAGAGAUGUCCCCAUGAUGCACUUGGAUGAAAUUACCUUGUUUAAAAGCAGAGUGGCUGAGGAACCUCCAAACCUGUGGUGGUGAUUAUGCCAUAGCACAUGUAGAACAGUUGGGAUGAACGUGUGAAACAGCUUCUUAUUGGCCUGGAAUCUCCCUUCUUGAGCUUAUGGCCGCCUUAUGGGAUGCUGUACGAUCACUUUAAAUCAGUGCAAUUGAAAAGCAGAAGAGUCUGGACAAACAUUGCUGUGGGGAAACACAGACCUUGCACAUAAAAAUACAAUAUCAAAGCCUUUUGGAACCAUAUGGAGAUUUUCUUGUGGUUAAUAAUGAAUUCCUCUUUUACUUUAUAUUAGUUAAAGGCCAGCUCCCCUCUUCUCCCUCCCUCGGCGGCUGCUUUCCAGCUUCCUUUGAAUUUUCAAAAUGGCUAACCUGGUUAGAAGUAAUGAUAAAAGGAUGGAUGAUGCCUGGCUAUUAACAUGGUUGCUGUUAGCAGCAGGAUCUCAGCCAUAAAACAUGAAGCAAGGGAGACAUUGACCUUUCUGCUGUUUUGAAAUGAAUGGAGACAUCGAUAUCUAUUGUUUUCAGUGGCAUUGACCUCUGACACUCUCACUUCUCCUUCUCCCUCGCUCUUUUAUUUCCUCCUGACGCUUGGGGAGAGGGGUCAGUUUGUACCAUCUAUUGAUCCUGAUCUUACUUGGUGAUAGGGAAAUAAUUAGAAUUGUAAAAGAUCUACAACAUACUAGCACUAUAUAUAUACACAAACAUACAUCCCUCCCCCUUCCCCCCCCCCCCCCCAUGGAAAUUCAAAACUCCUAGAUCUGAAAGAAGGCCGAUCAAUUUAGGUUUAAUUACUAAAUGUUUUUUAUUUUAGCUUUGUAAAUGCUCAAGUGUAGCAUUUUAUGUUACUGUCACAGGAGUCUGGAUGCCUGGUGCCUUGUUUUAUUUAUUUAUUUUUUGUAAGUAGCCCCUCUUAUGUGAACAACUUCUACGUACUGAGAAUGUGAAAUCAGGCAUUGCUAAUUAGCUGUAUGACAAUUAAGUAAUGUAGCACAAAACCAUUAGUACAUCGGAUUUGUUUUUGAAGUUUCUCCUUUGAAGUGGAAGCUGCAACUCUGCCCAAGGCUGCUAGGGAAAUGUUUUUUUGUCAGAACUUUCUUUGAAAAAUGUCAUUGUAAAGUCCCUAUUCUGUUGAGAAUCUCCUAUAUUCACUCCUAUAUAAACAGAGGGUGAAACUUUGUUGUCAAAAUGUUUAAUUUAAAAAAAACCAGACAUUUAAGGAGCAAUUGGUCAAUAAGUAACACCCACUUUUUGGGUAUAACUGUUACUGAAACCGUUGUUUCAGCUUGCUGUAAGAGAAUUGUGUUACAAUGAGAGUGAAGACGUAUGUUACACCAAUAACAUGAAAGCUAGAGGAGGUGGCUCCCAAAAUCAAGAUUUAGCCUGUGAUGUGCUAAAUGACACCAGGAACCCAAGCAGCCUGUUUGCAAAUGACUGACAAACUCCUCAGUUUUAACAGCUCCAUCUGUGCACUUGUUUUACACUUGUAUUUACAGCUCGCUCUUUGUUCAUAAUAGUGAACCACAUUCUCAAUGUGCAAUUUUUCAUGUACAUUUGUGGCAUGUAAAAGAUUUCAAAUAAAG
rnacentral:lncRNA from 1 species